UGGGGAAUAUUGCACAAUGGGGGAAACCCUGAUGCAGCGACGCCGCGUGAGCGAUGAAGGCUUUCGAGUCGUAAAGCUCUGUCCUAUGGGAAGAUAAUGACGGUACCAUAGAAGAAAGCCCCGGCUAAUUACGUGCCAGCAGCCGCGGUAAUACGUAGGUGGCAAGCGUUGUCCGGAAUUAUUGGGCGUAAAGCGCGCGCAGGUGGUUUAGAAAGUCUGAUGUGAAAGCCCACGGCUCAACCGUGGAGGGUCAUUGGAAACUAAUAAACUUGAGUGCAGGAGAGAAAAGUGGAAUUCCUAGUGUAGCGAUGAAAUGCGUAGAGAUUAGGAGGAACACCGGUGGCGAAAGCGGCUUUUUGGCCUGUAAAUGACACUGAGGCGCGAAAGCGUGGGGAGCAAACAGG
rnacentral:rRNA from 1 species